AUUGAACGCUGGCGGCAUGCUUUACACAUGCAAGUCGAACGGGCUUAGGGGCUUGCUCCUAAGUUAGUGGCGAACGGGUGAGUAAUGCAUCGGAACGUACCGUGUAGUGGGGGAUAACCCGGCGAAAGUCGGAUUAAUACCGCAUACGAUCUAAGGAUGAAAGCAGGGGAUCGCAAGACCUUGCGCUAUACGAGCGGCCGAUGUCGGAUUAGCUAGUUGGUAGGGUAAAGGCCUACCAAGGCAACGAUCCGUAGCGGGUCUGAGAGGAUGAUCCGCCACACUGGGGCUGAGACACGGCCCAGACUCCUACGGGAGGCAGCAGUGGGGAAUUUUGGACAAUGGACGAAAGUCUGAUCCAGCCAUGCCGCGUGAGUGAAGAAGGCCUUCGGGUUGUAAAGCUCUUUUGUCCGGGAGCAAAUCCUGUUCACUAAUACUGAGUGGGGCUGAGAGUACCGGAAGAAUAAGCACCGGCUAACUACGUGCCAGCAGCCGCGGUAACAC
rnacentral:rRNA from 1 species